UAAUAAUUACAAAAAAAAAAAAAAAAAAAACUUCCAAUUACCAAGUGAAUUACAAGACAGAUAUUCAACAACGAUUGACCAUCAGAUGACAUUUGUGUUUCUGUAAAAAAUGGCUGGAGGCUUGGACCCAACUGGACUCUACUGAGGCAACCAACCAAUUAAUAAAAAAAUUCAAGAGAAAAAAAAA